rnacentral:rRNA from 1 species
UACAGAGGUCUCAAGCGUUGUUCGGAUUCAUUGGGCGUAAAGGGUGCGUAGGCGGCGCGGUAAGUCGGGUGUGAAUCUCGGGGCUUAACUCCGAAACUGCAUUCGAUACUGCCGUGCUUGAGGACUGGAGAGGAGACUGGAAUUUACGGUGUAGCGGUGAAAUGCGUAGAUAUCGUAAGGAAGACCAGUGGCGAAGGCGGGUCUCUGGACAGUUCCUGACGCUGAGGCACGAAGGUCAGGGGAGCAAACGGG